rnacentral:sRNA from 1 species
UGAUACUUAAUUUAUGUGCCAAUAUAUU